GACGAACGCUGGCGGCGUGCCUAAUACAUGCAAGUAGAACGCUGAAGAGAGGAGCUUGCUCUUCUUGGAUGAGUUGCGAACGGGUGAGUAACGCGUAGGUAACCUGCCUUGUAGCGGGGGAUAACUAUUGGAAACGAUAGCUAAUACCGCAUAACAAUGGAUGACACAUGUCAUUUAUUUGAAAGGGGCAAUUGUUCCACUACAAGAUGGACCUGCGUUGUAUUAGCUAGUAGGUGAGGUAAUGGCUCACCUAGGCGACGAUACAUAGCCGACCUGAGAGGGUGAUCGGCCACACUGGGACUGAGACACGGCCCAGACUCCUACGGGAGGCAGCAGUAGGGAAUCUUCGGCAAUGGGGCAACCCUGACCGAGCAACGCCGCGUGAGUGAAGAAGGUUUUCGGAUCGUAAAGCUCUGUUGUAAGUCAAGAACGGGUGUGAGAGUGGAAAGUUCACACUGUGACGGUAGCUUACCAGAAAGGGACGGCUAACUACGUG
rnacentral:rRNA from 1 species